rnacentral:rRNA from 1 species
GGCGAGUGAAGCGGCAAAGCUCAAAUUUGAAAUCUGGUACCUUUGGUGCCCGAGUUGUAAUUUGGAGAGUACCACUUUGGGACUGUACUUUGCCUAUGUUCCUUGGAACAGGACGUCAUGGAGGGUGAGAAUCCCGUGUGGCGAGGGUGUCAGUUCUUUGUAAAGGGUGCUCGAAGAGUCGAGUUGUUUGGGAAUGCAGCUCUAAGUGGGUGGUAAAUUCCAUCUAAAGCUAAAUACAGGCGAGAGACCGAUAGCGAACAAGUACAGUGAUGGAAAGAUGAAAAGAACUUUGAAAAGAGAGUGAAAAAGUACGUGAAAUUGUUGAAAGGGAAGGGCAUUUGAUCAGACAUGGUGUUUUGCGCCCCUUGCCUCUCGUGGGCUUGGGACUCUCGCAGCUCACUGGGCCAGCAUCGGUUUUGGCGGCCGGAAAAAACCUAGGGAAUGUGGCUCUGCGCCUCGGUGUAGAGUGUUAUAGCCCUGGGGAAUACGGCCAGCCGGGACCGAGGACUGCGAUACUUGUUAUCUAGGAUGCUGGCAUAAUGGUUAUAUGCCGCCCGUCU